rnacentral:rRNA from 1 species
UACGGUGCUGAAGCAACAAAUGCCCUGCUUCCAGGAAAAGCCUCUAAGCAUCAGGUAACAUCAAAUCGUACCCCAAACCGACACAGGUGGUCAGGUAGAGAAUACCAAGGCGCUUGAGAGAACUCGGGUGAAGGAACUAGGCAAAAUGGUGCCGUAACUUCGGGAGAAGGCACGCUGACACGUAGGUGAAGUGAUUUACUCAUGGAGCUGAAGUCAGUCGAAGAUACCAGCUGGCUGCAACUGUUUAUUAAAAACACAGCACUGUGCAAACACGAAAGUGGACGUAUACGGUGUGACGCCUGCCCGGUGCCGGAAGGUUAAUUGAUGGGGUCAGCGCAAGCGAAGCUCCUGAUCGAAGCCCCGGUAAACGGCGGCCGUAACUAUAACGGUCCUAAGGUAGCGAAAUUCCUUGUCGGGUAAGUUCCGACCUGCACGAAUGGCGUAAUGAUGGCCAGGCUGUCUCCACCCGAGACUCAGUGAAAUUGAACUCGCUGUGAAGAUGCAGUGUACCCGCGGCAAGACGGAAAGACCCCGUGAACCUUUACUAUAGCUUGACACUGAACAUUGAGCCUUGAUGUGUAGGAUAGGUGGGAGGCUUUGAAGUGUGGACGCCAGUCUGCAUGGAGCCGACCUUGAAAUACCACCCUUUAAUGUUUGAUGUUCUAACGUGGACCCGUUACCCGGGUUGCGGACAGUGUCUGGUGGGUAGUUUGACUGGGGCGGUCUCCUCCUAAAGAGUAACGGAGGAGCACGAAGGUUGGCUAAUCCUGGUCGGACAUCAGGAGGUUAGUGCAAUGGCAUAAGCCAGCUUGACUGCGAGCGUGACGGCGCGAGCAGGUGCGAAAGCAGGUCAUAGUGAUCCGGUGGUUCUGAAUGGAAGGGCCAUCGCUCAACGGAUAAAAGGUACUCCGGGGAUAACAGGCUGAUACCGCCCAAGAGUUCAUAUCGACGGCGGUGUUUGGCACCUCGAUGUCGGCUCAUCACAUCCUGGGGCUGAAGUAGGUCCCAAGGGUAUGGCUGUUCGCCAUUUAAAGUGGUACGCGAGCUGGGUUUAGAACGUCGUGAGACAGUUCGGUCCCUAUCUGCCGUGGGCGCUGGAGAACUGAGGGGGGCUGCUCCUAGUACGAGAGGACCGGAGUGGACGCAUCACUGGUGUUCGGGUUGUCAUGCCAAUGGCACUGCCCGGUAGCUAAAUGCGGAAGAGAUAAGUGCUGAAAGCAUCUAAGCACGAAACUUGCCCCGAGAUGAGUUCUCCCUGAGACUUAAAGUCUCCUGAAGGAACGUUGAAGACGACGACGUUGAUAGGCCGGGUGUGUAAGCGCAGCGAU